rnacentral:lncRNA from 1 species
CUCUCUCGGUCUCUACAGAUUCAGUGAUCUCAUGGAAUAGUGCCGGAAACAGUUUUAUUGUUUGGGAUUUUCACAAAUUUUUCACUAUUCUGCUGCCUAGAUACUCCAAGCACAGCAAUUUUUCCAGUUUUAUUCUGUCUGGUGAAUCCAAUACUUUUUCUUAUAAGUAAUUGAUCAUUUACAAUUAUCUUCUGCCAUUUAUGUAUACUUAUGUUUAAUACGAUAUUUGGAUCUGGAUAUGAGUUUAUGAUAAUUCUUAGAUUUGGUAUUAAUUUUUAACUAGUUAUAAUAUUUUUGAAAGGUUAGAUAAGUGGUUAAAAUGUUGCUAGUGGAUUGUUGGGAUACUGAAGUGUUUUGAUUUUUUUUUUAUGCUUUUAGAUUUUAAUAUGGAACCGAAUCGACCUCUUGCCAAGAAAGGAAGAAUCUUAUUAUCUUUCUUUACAAAGAGCGACAAGCCCAAGGGUGCUCCAACUCCUACGGUACCCAAUCCUCCAAUUGCAUCUCCUGAAAUUGAACGGUCUUCAUCUUUCAAUGUUAAGUUAGAACCAUCUGAUUCUAUAGAGCGAGACCCAAGAAAAAAAAGCAAAUAUAUGAAUAUCCGUUUAAUGAACGUGAUCAAAUUAGGUGUGCCUAUUUAAAAGCUGGGCCUUAUCAACCAAAACUUGUGGAGUAUCAAAGCAAAGAAUUUGAAAAACAGAAACGUCGAUUUCAAGAGCAUUGGUACAAUCAGUAUUCUUGGUUAGAGUAUUCGCCUUCAACACAUAAGGUAUAUUGCUUUUUCUGCUUUCUUUUUCUCAAUGAAAGUGUUCCACCUAAUAUUUCAUCAUUGGUUACUGUUGGAUUUGAUAGUUGGAAGAGGGUUGGCCAGGGAAGUAAAUGUGCAUUUCUUGUUCAUAUUGGUACAACAUCUUCAUCAUAUCAUAAUAGCUGUAAGAGAAGAGCUGAAGAUCUAAUGAAACCAACUCAACAUAUUAUGAGUUAGGAAGAACAGAAAAAUUGUUUGCGUCUAAUGACCACAAUUAUGAGUGUUUGGUGGCUAGCACUUCAAAGUUGUUCAUUUAGAGGCAAUGAUGAAUCUCCAUCUUCACUGAAUCGUGGGAACUUUCUUGAAAUGGUAGAUGCAUUUGGAAAAAUGAAUACAAAAAUAGGAGAAGUUGUGUUGGGUAAUGCUCCAAAAAAUGCUACAUACACAUCUCCAGACAUUCAAAAAGAGAUUUUGAGCAUUAUGGCUAACAGAGUAAGACAGAGAAUUUGUAAAGAAAUUGGGGAUGCAAAGUUUAGUAUUCUUGUUGAUGAAGCUCGAGAUGCAUCUUCACAAGAACAAAUGGCUAUUAUCUUGAGGUUUGUGAAUGGUAAUGGAAUUUUGACAGAGCGUUUUUUUGCAAUCAAAAAUGUUAGUGACACUACAUCGUUGAAUCUUAAGAAUCAAAUUUCUAAUGUUCUUGUUCGUUUCAACAUUCAAGUGCAAAACAUGAGAGGUCAAGGGUAUGAUGGUGCUAAUAAUAUGUGUGGUGCUUGGAAUGGAAUACAAACAUUAUUUCUUAGAGAUUGUCCAUAUGCAUAUUAUGUCCAUUAUUUUGCCCAUCAUUUACAACUCAUGUUGGUUUCAGCAGCUAGGGAUGUCGCAGAUAUUAAUUCAUUCUUUUCAGAUUUGGACAAUGUUAUUAAUAUGAUUACAUCUCUCCUAAGCGCGUCAAUGAGUUGAAAAGCUCCCAAAAAAAAAAAGAAAUUGAACAUUUGUUGGAAAUUGGAGAACGAGAGACUGGAAGUGGGACUAAUCAAAUUGGUAACUUGCAACGAGCUGGAGGUACUCGUUGGUCUUCUCAUUACAACUCUGUAAAGAGUUUGAUUGAUAUGUAUGCUGCAACUUGCAAGGUGCUUGAGUAUCUUAGUGGUCAUUCUCCAAAUGUAAGAACUCGGUCUGAAGUAGGUGGUGUAUACAAAAAAUUGACAACAUUUGAAUUUGUAUUUAUUUUGCAUUUAAUGCGCAGAAUGUUGGCAAUCACAGAUGUGCUUUGUCAAGCCCUUCAG